CCCCGCCCUGCAGAACCGCACCGUGCGGGCUUCGAUGCGGCUGCACCUGGGGCAAAGGGGCUCGCUGUCCCUCGCUGGAAAUGAAAAUCUGGGACCCUGUAAACUUUGAAGCCCCUGAGGCACCUGGAACUGGCCAACUUAGUAGUAAAUGGAUGAAAAGAAUUCCAGCCUGAAGAGGCAGUGCAGGGAAAAGAGGCAGUACAUCCCUGGAAAAGCCCUGAAGUGGAACACAAAGUGGUUUCACUGAAGUGAAGGUGGGUGAGCAGUGAUGGGACAUAAAGUCCUGAUGUGCCUGUUUGUCACCCAAGAGAACAGCAGACAGGAUGAAGCCACGUGUAAUGUGUGCAGUUUAUGAGAUGAUUUUGCUGUCUACAGACCUACGGCAGAGUCGGGAUACACAGAAAGCAGAGCUGACUGUAAGGAACCUGCCAGCUCCUCCAGCCAGCCCCAACAUGACUGGAACUGAACUAUCCCUACUGGAAACUCACACGGAUAUGAAUUAACAUAAUUUCCAGGCAAACUCUUGUUUUGAAGUUCUUCUUUUGAAAUCAAUCGUGUAUCCUGCUGUAUUGAGCCAAAAUGUUCCCUUGUUUAGCCACAGUUUGUUUCAUCUUCUUUUACUGAUUAAUGCAAUUCAUUCUUUUAUUUUGGUUAUUAAUUAUGCAUUCGUGCUUAAUUCACAAUAGUAUUUUCAUGCCUCAAGUUGCACUGUGCAGCUCGCAGUACAGCUACCAACAUGUGCUCUGUUCUGAGUGACAGCUGAUCAAAUAAAAUAUUGCAAUCCAGAGAAACUCCUAAUCAUUUGGGGCAACCAAGGCAAGAAAUUUAAAAAUUCAGGAAAUUGUCCAUUUCAGAAAACAAAAACAAAACCAACCAAACAUGAAUUCUUACUCAGUCCCAAGUCUCUUGUACUGAAAAUACCAUGCAAGCAAAUAAACCUUUCUCGUAUGUUGUA